CGUUUAUCUCACUAUGAUUUGACUACGAAACCGGUUUUCGAUUUGGUUUGACUGUUUUUUUAUACAAGUGAGAUCAUUUUGAAAGCUGAUUUUGUCAAUGAAUAACCACAUUCCACAUCCC
rnacentral:pre_miRNA from 15 species